AUCCAUAUGACGAGUCGAAAAUGGGACGAAAUGCGCGUUAUCCUGGAU
rnacentral:hammerhead_ribozyme from 1 species